AGCAGCCGCGGUAAUUCCAGCUCCAAUAGCGUAUAUUAAAGUUGUUGCAGUUAAAAAGCUCGUAGUUGAAUUUCGGGAUUGACGUGAUGGUCGUGCCUUACGGGGUAUGAACUGUUGCUGUUGAUUUCUCACCUUCUGGAGAAACUUGAUGUCCUUAAUUGGGUGUCUUGCGGAUCCAGGACCUUUACCUUGAAAAAUUAGAGUGUUUAAAGCAGGCAUUUUGCUCGAAUACAUUAGCAUGGAAUAAUAGAAUAGGACGGCAUGGUUCUAUUUUGUUGGUUUCUAGGAUCACCGUAAUGAUUAAUAGGGAUAGUUGGGGGCAUUAGUAUUCAAUUGUCAGAGGUGAAAUUCUUGGAUUUAUUGAAGACUAACUACUGCGAAAGCAUUUGCCAAGGAUGUUUUCAUUAAUCAAGAACGAGAGUUAGGGGAUCGAAGACGAUCAGAUACCGUCGUAGUCUUAACCAUAAACUAUGCCGACUAGGAAUCAGACGAUGUUAAUUUUUAAUGUACUUCGUUUGGU
rnacentral:misc_RNA from 1 species